rnacentral:rRNA from 1 species
CCUACGGGAGACAGCAGUGAGGAAUAUUGGUCAAUGGACGAGAGUCUGAACCAGCCAAGUAGCGUGAAGGAUGACUGCCCUAUGGGUUGUAAACUUCUUUUAUAUGGGAAUAAAAUGUUCCACGUGUGGGAUUUUGUAUGUAACAUAUGAAUAAGGAUCGGCUAACUCCGUGCCAGCAGCCGCGGUAAUACGGAGGAUCCGAGCGUUAUACGGAUUUAUUGGGUUUAAAGGGAGCGUAGGUGGAUUGUUAAGUCAGUUGUGAAAGUUUGCGGCUCAACCGUAAAAUUGCAGUUGAAACUGGCAGUCUUGAGUACAGUAGAGGUGGGCGGAAUUCGUGGUGUAGCGGUGAAAUGCUUAGAUAUCACGAAGAACUCCGAUUGCGAAGGCAGUUCACUGGACUGCAACUGACACUGAGGCUCGAAAGUGUGGGUAUCAAACAGGAUUAGAUACCCCGGUAGUC